CGACUACCGGUUCCUGUACGAUCACCAAAGUUAAGCAACUUCGAUCCUGGUCAGUACAUAGAUGGGUGACCGAUUGGAAAUACUACGUGGUGUCAG